CUGACUGGUCCUGACAGGGAUCAGAGGAAGUCAUGGAGACAGGGCCCUACAUCCAUCAUCAUUUUAAAAGUCAACAUUACGCUGCCUCACACAAGCUUCAUAAAUACAGAUGCUCUCUGCCUGAGAGGUUCUCACAAGGGCAUAGAUUCUGGGCUCCAAUGAUGAAACAUUACCUUUGUUAGAACCAACACCAGCAAGAUGCUCCUAUUAAAUAAGACAAACAGGAAACCAGGAUUUAUGAAGUCUGGCUCAAUGCAAAUAUUUAAAGACUUAAUUUUUUUUCCUUCCC